GUACAAACAUGUUGAAUCACAAAGCUUCUCCAAUGAAGGGGCUGUGGUGAGGGGUUCAAUCUGUUCGUCCAAUAAUAGUUUUGCAAUUAAUCUGAUGACUAAGAAGGAUCCCUUCAUUAUAACCUCUCAUUACAGUCUCUCGAGUUCAAUCUUUAGAUUUUACACGUGUAAUGUUCUAGAGGCAUUGACUCUUUGUGUACGGUCGUUUUGGAUCAACAACAGAUGACACUAUAUGAGCAUCAUAGAGGCACUAAUUGUGG
rnacentral:lncRNA from 1 species